rnacentral:lncRNA from 1 species
AUGCGGGAGGUCGCCGCGUCUCACAAUUCCCCGCCGCCUCGCCUGUCUCUCCAGAAGGUACCGUCCCCAGAACAAAGCGGAAACAAGCGACGUGGCUGCCAAAAGCAGGCGCCUGGAGGACACGUGCACCGCCAAGCCCGGGGGCAGCGGACCCGCCGGGACCAGCUCCCGCGUCGCGCUCGGGCUUCUGCGCAUGUGCGGCAAAGGGGGCGGGCGCACUCCUCCCUGAGCUUCUCAGUUUUCCCUCUGCGCGCGGCGUGGGCGGGACGCCUCGCGAGAGGUGUGAGUUCUCGCGGGAACAGCAUUCAAAAAGCCCUGGCGCUUACGGGAGAGCUCCUGAGGGACGGAACGGGCGUCUCUGGUCGUGAGGCGGUGCUGCCGUCGCGGACUCGGCGCGGUGCGCCCUCGGCACGAGCUGCCGCUGCGGCAGGCAGGGGCGAGGGAAAAAUUUUAAGAAUCACCUGUCACAGCUCGUGCUCAUUUUCCGUUGGACGGCGCUGCCCCCCAGAGAGCGGCUUGUCAGAUUCCAAUUGCCUCUUCUUGCUUCAUUAGCUGGGUUAAUCUCAAAAACGCUGCCGGAGAUGUUAUUGCCUUUAUCCUAGGGAUGAGAACACAAGACCUGGAGUAAGUUGUCCAAGCUCGCGCCUCCAGGGCGUUGUGCAAAGUGGAGUAAGAACUAAGGCCGCCCGAGCUCGCCGCCGCUAAAUGCUUUGUGUAUGCUGUUUCUGAGAGGCUGAACAGAAGAGUGCUUGGGAGCACCCGGCUUCGGAGCCAGACCCUGAUCCCCAUCUCGGGCCCUUACUGGCUGCUUAUCCUAGGCAAGUUACCUAACCUCUCCGUGCCUCAGUCUGCACGUGUGUAAAUGCCAGAAACACCUCCUAUUUCAUGGGGUUGUUGAGAGACCUAGACAAUGUGUGCGAAGCCUCAAGUACUAUGUCUGGCACGUAUUAGCUGUAGUUCUUCAACCCGGCUCCCUCUGCGGAUGGACAGGGUAACUCUUACUCGUCCAUUAGACCUUUGCAAAAAGUCCCUUCUCACAGAAAUCUUUCCUGUCCGUACUCCCUACCCCCACCCCACAUCCCAAUUUAGGGCAUCACUCCCAUGUUGAUGACUUAUAACAAGCUCCCUCGUGCACUUAAUCACGCUUAUAAGACUUUACAGUUAUUUGAUUUAAUGCAUUUCCACUAAUGCCUGUAAGAUUCAAGAAGGCAGGAGGGAUACUGUCUAGUUUUUUUUUGGGGGGGGGGGUGUCACCAUUGUGUCAGCAAUAGCACAGUACCAGACACAUAAUAGGAAUUCUAGCGAAUCUUGAAAGAACGAAAACACAUUUCUUUGCAUCCUUGGACUCUGCUGGCUGGAAUGUCUUGAGGCUAGCUCUCUUUUUUUCUUUGGUAAAUGUUGAUGGCAGUAAUGUUUAACGUAGGCCCAUCAAGAGAAUUAAAUGAGAUAAUUCCUUCGAAGCACUCUACCUGGCAAAUGGUAAAUCGUCAACCAAUAUAUGAUAAAAAGUGCAAUAAUGAGUGCCUAGCCCCAUCACCUACAGGCUUUGGAAAGCUCUUGUAUUUUACUUAUUUUUAAAGAUUUUAUUUGACAGCAGGGAGGGGCAGAAGGAGAGGGAAAAAGUCUGAAGCAGACUCUGCGCUGACUGAGGAGCUCCACUUGGGGCUGGGUCUCAUGACAUCACAAUCCUGAGAUUCAAACCUGAGCCAAAACCAAGACUUGGACCCUUAGCUAACUGUGCCAUCCAGGCAUCCUGGAAAGAUCUUGUGUUUUAGAGCAGUAACUGUCAGCCCUGGAUAACAGGAUACCUUUUUCUUUUCUUCUCUCUGCUGAAACCAUAUAUCUCCUCCUUCAUCUUCAUUUUUACUUAAUAACCUUGCUUCCUCAUUUACUGAUAAGUUGGAACAGUUAGAAGGGCACUUAUGCAGACUCCCAUCACUAAUCUACCUACUUAUCAGUAGUCUGUACCCAUAUAUUUUGCUUUCCCUUUAGAUGAAAUAUUUAUGCUCCCAUCUAAAAUCAGUCCUUGUACAUUAGACUUCAUUCUUUUUCAUCACUUUAGCAGUUCUCCAUGUGUUCUAUAUCAUCAAGUUUUUCUUCUCUCCUGAAUCUAUCCCAUGACAUACAACCAUGCUGUUACUUUUUCUUAAAAUAUUGUAUCUCAAAACAGAUAAACAAUCCAGCUACCGCCCCAUUUAUCUGCUGUACUUUGCAGCAAAACUGUGUUUCCUGUUUUCCCACCAUUUUCUCCAACCCUUUUCAGUUGGCUUCCAGGAUAAUACUUGGCUCUUGGCUUUCCUUGCCUCAUUGGUCAUGCCUGAGUAUAUUUUGCUGUCUUCUUUCCUACCUCUUGAUGGCUCAAUCCUUGGUCCUCUUUAAUUAUAUUCAUGCUAUGGUGACACCAAGGCUCAAGGAAUUCUGUUAAUAACUCCUAGGUUUGUAUUUCUAGCCCAGAUCCUUCCUGUGCCAACUGGUUACCUGAUAUAUUUCAUAUUUAUUUAUUUAUGGUAUAUUUCAUAUUUAAAGCGUAAGCUCCUGAUUUUCUUUCAAGACAGUUUUUACUCAUAACUUUUGAUGGUCCAGCUGAUGGCAAAUCUGUUCUGCUAGUUGCUCAGGCCAGAGGCCUUAGAGGCAUUUUUAACCUCUCUUUUUUAUACAUAACCACAUUUAAUUUGUCAGAAAAUCAUGUUGCCUUUACCUUCAAACUAUAUGCAGAAUCUGAUUGUUUCUCCCCACCUCCUUUAUACUCAUCCUUGUGUAAGCUAUCAUCUCACCUGGUCUUUAUGUUUCCCACUUGCUUCCCUCCAAACGAUUCAGCAGCCAAAAUGAUCCUUUUAAAGUAUCAGAUCUCUACCCUAUACUUUGCAAUGAACCCCGAUUUCACCUAGAGUAGAAGCCAAAGUCCUUGCAGUGGCCUGAUUUGCCUAUUGUCUUCUAUUCUCUCCUGUGACCUAUAUUUUAUCUUGUUCAUUUCUUAGGCAUCCUUCUACUUUAGUGCUACCCUUCUGCCUCUACCCCUUUUUCUUUCCUGAAAUAGAUACGUUGCUAAUUCUCUUAUCCUCUGCAAGGCUUUUUUCAGAAGUCACCAGAGGGUCUUUCUCCCCAACACUUAAUUUAGAUUUCAUUCUAUUAUAUUAUACCUACUUCCAAGUUCCCUUUUUCUGUUCUUUUUUUUCUUUUGUUCUUUUUUUCACUUUCAAAUGCAUUUAAUCAUGGUACUACUAUUGCUUGUCUUCUCACCCUGGAAGGUAAGUUUCAUGAAAGAACACUGUUUUGUUUUUUGGGUUUUUUUUUUUUUUUUUUGGCCCAUUUGGCUUCUGAUGGAUCUCAAAUGCAGUAGAAUGGAGUUAAGCACAUAAAGCUUUAAGAAAUACUUGUUGAAUAAUGAUUACAUUGAUUGGAAAGCAGGGAAACACCUUAUUAAUGACUUGUUGCUCUUUGAAUGCAAAGCCGUGUUUAAAUCUGGCUUAAGAGAUGGGACAAUUUGGAAACGAUGAUGAGUAAGGUUGAAUUAUAGUGGAAUGUUUCUUUUUUUUUUUUUUUUUUUUUAAAGAUUUUAUUUAUUUAUUCAUGAUAGUCACAGAGAGAGAGAGAGGCAGAGACACAGGCAGAGGGAGAAGCAGGCUCCAUGCACCGGGAGCCCGACGUGGGAUUCGAUCCCGGGUCUCCAGGAUCGCGCCCUGGGCCAAAGGCAGGCGCCAAACCGCUGCGCCACCCAGGGAUCCCUAGUGGAAUGUUUCUAUAUAAAAUGUUUAAAUCCUUGAUUGAAAAUCUAGAAUAUAAGAAAUGUUCUUUAAUUACUAUGAACAUGAUUCUAUUUUGCAUGUCUCUUGUGAAUAACAGAAAAUACUAAUGAGCCUAUUAUCAAUAAAGCAAAUUUAAUGUGUUCA